GGCGGACCAUUAGAAAAGUGAUGGGGGGGGGGGGGUGACUUUUCCAACUUGUACGAAUAUUUUUUUUACAUUUUUUGCUUGUGUCGAUAAUUUUUUUAAAUAUAAUCCCUUGCACGAAUUUUUUUUUUAUUUCAACUUAUAAUUUUCCCUAUUGAAAAGUCUCUGCACGAAUUUUUUUUCAAACUUUUUUGGUACACGAAAACAUUUUGGUACAUUUCAAACUUUUUUGGUCUUUCUGUUUCCCCUGCUCGAUUUUUAUUUUUGCUUUUUCCCCACCCCCCUCUCCCAUCACUUCUCUAAUGGUCCUCCCUUCUCU